rnacentral:rRNA from 1 species
AGGACGAACGCUGGCGGCGUGCCUAACACAUGCAAGUCGAACGAGGUCCAACCGGUAGCAAUACCGGUGAAGACCAAGUGGCGAACGGGUGAGUAGCACGUGAGCAACCUGCCCCGAAGACCGGGACAACACCGGGAAACCGGUGCUAAUACCGGAUAUCCCCACCGAGUCGCAUGGCUUGGUGAGGAGAUGGAUUCCGCUUCGGGAGGGGCUCGCGGCCUAUCAGCUUGUUGGUGAGGUAACGGCUCACCAAGGCUUCGACGGGUAGCUGGUCUGAGAGGACGAUCAGCCACACUGGGACUGAGACACGGCCCAGACUCCUACGGGAGGCAGCAGUGGGGAAUCUUGCACAAUGGGCGAAAGCCUGAUGCAGCAACGCCGCGUGAGGGACGAAGGCUUUCUGAGUUGUAAACCUCUUUCAGCAGGGACGAUUGUGACGGUACCUGCAGAAGAAGCCCCGGCCAACUACGUGCCAGCAGCCGCGGUAAUACGUAGGGGGCAAGCGCUGUCCGGAUUUAUUGGGCGUAAAGAGCUCGUAGGCGGCUUGGCGAGUCGAAUGUGAAACCUCCAGGCUCAACCUGGAGAUGCCAUUUGAUACUGCCAUGGCUAGAGUUUGGUAGGGGACCACGGAAUUCCUGGUGUAGCGGUGAAAUGCGCAGAUAUCAGGAGGAACACCAGCGGCGAAGGCGGUGGUCUGGGCCAAUACUGACGCUGAGGAGCGAAAGCGUGGGGAGCGAACAGGAUUAGAUACCCUGGUAGUCCACGCCGUAAACGUUGGGCACUAGGUGUGGGGACCUAUCGACGGUUUCUGUGCCGCAGCUAACGCAUUAAGUGCCCCGCCUGGGGAGUACGGCCGCAAGGCUAAA